GCGUGUCGCUGGAGAGGGAACAUGCGGUGUCCACGGGGACUGUGGAGGCAUUCUGUGAACGCUGGUCACCGCGGGAGGUCGAAUGUAUUGUUGAUAAAAAUGUUAAUAUUUUAAUUUGAUAACUUUGUUUGUAAAAUGCCAAUAUAGGCAUUCUCUGAUCGUGUCGCUACUUUGUAUUUUUGCUUGUUCUGAAUAAAAGCAUUUUUU